ACUCAAAUGAAUUGACGGGGGCCAGCACAAGCGGUGGAACAUGUGGUUCAAUUCGAUGCUACGCGAAGAACCUUACCCAGGCUUGACAUGCUUGAAGUAGGAACCUGAAAGGGUGACGACUCGUAACCAGUCGAGAACUUGCACAGGUGCUGCAUGGCUGUCGUCAGCUCGUGCCGUGAGGUGUUGGCUUAAGUGCCACAACGAGCGCAACCAUUGCUGAUAGUUGCCACCGGGUCCCGCAAGGGAUGCCGAGCACUCUAUCGGGACUGCCAGCGACGAGCUGGAGGAAGGUGGUGAUGACGUCAAGUCCGUACGGCCUUUAUGCCUGGGGCUACACACGUGUUACAAUGGCGUUGACAACGCGCUGCUAACCCGCGAGGGCAUGCUAAUCGCUAAAACGACGCCUCAGUUCGGAUCGCAGGCUGCAAUUCGCCUGCGUGAAGCCGGAAUCGCUAGUAAUGGCGGAUCAGCUACGCCGCCAUGAAUACGUUCCCUGGCCUUGCACACACCGCCCGU
rnacentral:rRNA from 1 species